GGGUGAGCCCAAAUCCAGGUGACUCUGGGGACACACUUCCAGCUCCUGUGUCCCAUCCUUCUUGUGUUGCUGUCUCUGUCUGGAACACCUGCCUCCAUCUCUCAGACUCCUAGGCCACUCCUCUGUCACUCUCUAUUUCCGCUCUGGUUAAGAGGCUGUGUGGUUCUAGAAAGAACCUAGAGUUGGGAAACGCACUGAAUGUGUCACCAGAUGUGGACCCUAACACGCUUCUCAGCCCUGCUUAAACAUCUGACUUUUAUGUUUGACGUAAUUCUCUUGUCUUCUUGCAAGGUGCAGUUGUUCCGUUACCUAACACCUUGGGGCCUUGAGAUUAUGCGGUUUUCUGCUAUGUUCCAGGAAGAAGCUCUAAGUGACACCCACCCUGGUCCCAGUGGCCUCUGAACCGGCCCAGACCACAACCAAGACUGACACUGCGCAGAUGGGCAGAGAGUUCUACUAAAGCAACCUGACCUCAUCAUCAUCACAGAUUCCCCUCCUCUGGGAGGGGUGAAGCAGCGAUUUUUAGGUCAUGCGAUGUAUCUAAAAACAUGACUUCAAACCACGCGUGUGUAAGCUCGUGCCCACCCCUACACGCGAUGAUCAAUCUUCCCCUUUGAGGAUUCAUUCCCUACCCCAAGUAAAACUACCCCUCUCCCCAUGCUCGGGGGACCAGAGUUUUGUGAAAUUAUUCCCUAUUGUCUCGAUUUUUCUUUGCUACAUGCUCCAAAUAAAAGUUCCACUUUGUGAAACGACUACUUCUGGUGCAGAAGGGACCCUCGUUUAGUCCGGUAACAAAUGCAGCUUCGAUCGCAGCUCUGCCGUCCUCAUUGGCUGUGGAAUCUUAGACAAGUGAUUGGGCCUCUCCCAGCCUCAGUUUCCUCAUCUGUGGAAGGGGCAUUGUUGCUGCUGCCCCAUGGGUUAUUGUGUGAGUUCAUGAGGUGAUACAUGUCAGAGGUUACAAAGUGGCCCACAUGGGCCCACACCAGGGUCUCCUCGACCUUCACUGUGUUUUAAAUUUUUUUGAAUGUGUUGGCAACAUUUAAAAGGUCAGAGGAAGUGUUGCAGGAUGAGAGAGUUCUCGAGCUGGAUGGUGGUGGUGCUUACACAACAGUGUGAAUGAACUUCUUCGAGCCACUGAACUGCAAACUUAAAAAUGGUUAAGAUGGCAUGUUUUAUGUGUAUUUUACCUCAAAUUUAUUUAAAAAUGUCAGGAAAUAUCACAUGGAAACCUUGAUUUCCGGCCUUUCAUGAAAACUGGGAGGACUGGGGUGUGCUGGGCCCACAUUCCCGCAGGGCCCUGGAGGCUGGACUGGAGCUGUUGUUACCACUUUCGGUAUUGAGUGCACCCCUGAGACGGGGACAACAGACAGAGGCCCUCGGCAAAUAUGAGCUCCUCUCUCUUUGGCCCUCACUUCUCAUAUUCCUCCCAAAUCAAUUGUCUCUGCUACAGGGUUAGGUGGAGACAGAGGGAGAGCGAGAGAUGGAGUGAGAGAUGGAGAGACAGAGAGAGAUGGAGUGAGAGAGAGAGAGAUGGAGAGAGAGAGAGAGAAGGAGAGAGAGAUGGAGACAGAUGGAAAGUAAGCGAGAAAUAGAAAGGUGUGUACAGAGAGAGAGCACCAUCCUGCUGUCACCUACUGGAGCCCAAUCAUCCCCGCUGCCCCUCCACGUGGUCCUGAACACCCUCCCGCCCCGCCGCCUGCCUGGCUCUCUCCCUCCAGUCCUGGUCCCUGCCUUUCUGCUGUUCCUUGGCUUCAUUAAUGCUUCCCUCACCCCCUGGUGUCUCUUGUUUUAACAGGACACCCACACAGCCCUGUCCCGCCUGCCUUCUCCACGAGGCAGUUCUCCCAGGCUGCCCAUUUCCGACACAAGCCCAAGGGUGCAAACCGCAUCAUGGAGAGUCUGGGCAGCAGAGCAGUUAGCAGGAAAGACAGAGGGACGAGAGGCUCAUUCCUGCCAGCAGGCCAGCCAGGGCCUAAGGCCCCACCAAAGGGUCACUGCCCCCCCCCCCCAACCACCACCAGGCACCCAGAGCUGGGACCCGGGAGUCGUCCUGGUUCUUCCCUCCCUCCCUUAAUCUCUCUCCAGCGCACUAUCACCUCUCCCUCCCGAAGCCACUGCCUUGGUCCAGGCCCCCUGACCCCACAUCACAAGGACCAUGGUCUAGUUCCCACUUCCCUCACAACCACCCACUGUGGCAGUGACCUUCCUGUAAGAAAAGCUGGUCGCAUCCUUUCCAUGCUGAAUAACCCUGAAGGCCGCAUGUCCUUCUAAACAAAGGCUAACUCCCCUGGAGGACGUGCAGCAUCCUCCCCAGUCUGGCCCCAGCGCAACUCCCGGCCUCAGCCCUCCCCCAUGAAGCUCACACAGCCUCCACUGCUCACUCAAGUCUCCCUGGGGCCACCAGGCUUUUGCACAUGCUGUCCCAGUGCUGACAGCACCCUUAGCCACCUCACCUGCAGUCAACCCCUAAUGCCCUUCAACACUCUGCUUAAAUGUCACUCCUCGGGGGCGUCUUCCCUGCCUGGGGGAUCACUGGAUGCCCCUGCCGCCCAGCCUCCUAUGUCGCCAUGGACUUUGUACAUCUCUGUGCUCUGCCAGUCACUAUGUUCUGGUGUAACUGUGCUUACAUGUCUGUUCUCAUCAUUCUCAUCACUCCACCCGCAACUUCCCUCCGCCCCUGAGCCUUGCAGGCUGGGACUGUGGCUUGCUCAGUGUGUAUCCCGAGCACUCCGCACAGGGCCGGGCACACAGGAGGGACUGGGUAAGGGAAUGUGGAAUGUGGUUUGCACGGGCAGUAGAAGAGGAAAACCAGUCAGGGCACGAAGAUCAGUCAGCUCAGGGGCACAGGGUCCAGGACAGGAAGGGGAGCAGGACUCCUUCCCUCCUUAGGCUCCUGGAGUAGUUGGGGUGGGAGAAGGAGUGUCUGUCCACUAAGACUUUCUGUAGCCCACUGCGGUCCAGCCUGGGCACCUGCCUCCUGCCACACUGGCUUCAGGCCUGGUGGGGCUCCAGGGAGCCCUUGCAGGGCAGGCCAACCUGGAUCCUGGCCUGGGGAGGACAAGGUGGAUGGACACAACCGGACAGAACUGGGCACCAUUUUGGACUUUAUCACUUGCUCCCUGGGCGAGCUUGGGCAAGUUGCUUAACCCUUCUGAGCCUGGUUGCCUCACUAGUGGAACAGGAGCUAAGCUUGCCUCCCUCGGAGAGCACUGGAGCCCGAGUCUGGCACACGACAGGCCCUCAGUAAUUGCUAGUCUUCACCUUCUGGAUGAAAUAUGUCCCUGGAAGCAAUGGCAGCUGAGGGAAGCUGGCUGGUCUACAUCAGACAGGUCCUCCUCUCCCUCUGGAGGAGCCAAUGGGGAUGCCCCCCUCCUGCAACCCUGGCCCUGCCCCCUUCCUAAGCACAGUGAACCUGGGAGGGCGGGGAGAUCUGGGGCCACAGGCUCAGGAAGGCUGAUGGGAGCAGGAAGGAGGCAAAGAAGCAAAGAACCAUCCACAAGGUGCUGAGGACCCCUCAAGAGAUGGACCAGCCGAUGCCUUUCGUCGCCGAAAUGCCAGGUGGGCUGUACCCCUCCAAGGAAAUUGUCGUGUGAGGCAUUGCCCUGCCCAGCGCUGAGAGGUUGCAAAUCAACUUGUACUCUGGGAAUGACAUCGCCCUCCACCUGGACAUCCGUUUCCGUGAGAACGUUGUGGUCUGCAACACAAAGAUGAACGGCAUUUGGGGGUCGGAGGAGCGAAGCCCGAUUGAAAAAAUGCCCUUCAUCCCAGGCCAAAGAUUCUUGAUGAGGAAACAGACUCACAAGUGCAGGUUACUGGCCUGAGGUCACACAGAUGAUACGUGCCAGAUGGAGCCCAAGAAUGAGGUAUCAUCCCUGUAUUCACUCACUCACUCACUCAUUCAACAAUCAUUUCAGCUGUUGUCUCAGGAUGUACUUUGUGCAGGAAGCACCCCAGGGGCUGGGGGUACAGCCUGGAGCAGACAGACUCCCUGCCCCACGGAGUCUGCAGUUUAGGAGGCAGAGGAAGCAGGAAACAAACGCACGGACAGACCCUUGCAGAUAAGAACAGGUGCUCUGCAGAAAGCAAAGCAGAAUAGAGGGAUAGAGUGAGCCCCGGGGCAGGGGCGGCACUGUCUUAGACGGGACAGCUCUCCCAGGAGGCCACCGUGCCCUUGAGACCCCAAUGGCAGAAGGAGCGGCCUCGCAAAGAUCUGCAGGUGCAUUGGGGCUGCAGCAGAGGGAGCCCCUGUUACUGCAGAGGCAGAGUCCUGGGCGUGGCCUGUCUGGGACCAGGGGACGGGGGGGCUCCCAGGUGGAUGGACAGUGAGGACAGAGAGGUGAGGGUGGGGCGACUGAGGCCCAGCUCACACAGAGCAGGUGUUCUCAGCCCCGACCACACAGUCAAACCCCUGGGAACUUAAAGAAGGAAAAUCAAUGCCUGGGCCUGCCUGGGGCCAACGAGGGGGUGAGCCUGGGCCUCCCUAUUUUUAAAUCCGCCCUGGUGCUCCUCCCCCAGGGUUGAAAUGACUGAUGUCGGGCCGUGAGGGCCAUGGAAAGAGCUGGGAUUUUAAUACAGCGUGUUGGUGUGUUUCAAGCCAGAGGGCAAUGUACUUUGAUUUCUAGACAGCUGGGUGACUGUGAGCAAGUGAGUUAACUGCUCUGUGGCUCAGUUUCCUCAUCUAAAAAUGGGCUAAUAAUAACAACAAUCUCAGAGAUGUAAGAAUGAAAUGAAAUCUUAUCUGUGACAUGCUUAGGACAGUGCCUGGCGGGCAGUAAGUGUACAAGUGUCAGCUAUUGCGAUGGGGAUGAUGACAUUUUAACAGACAUGCUCCAACUGCCUCUUGGAGAAAGUUUGGGUGGAAAAGACAAGUUAGGAGGCUGCCGCUGCAGGAGUGCAAGCGCAGAACACUCCUCUGUACCAGGGACAAGGGACAGGGACGGCACAAGCCAGCAUUCCUGUCCCUGGAGGCUCAGGGUCCAGUUGGAGAAUGAGGAUGGGGCUGGGGGACAUGACCUAAGGGGCACCUGACUCGACUAGGAGGGAGUCAGGAGGUGUGCGAGGCAGGGAAGGCUCGCCAUCCUGGAGGGAGAUUAGCAGUCAUCCGUGUGGGCAAGGUGUCCUAAGUGCCGAGCACAGGAGGAAGGGCAUUCUGGGCGGUGGGGGCAGAAUAUGCAAAAGUACAGGGGCAAGAGAAUCUUGGGCAUGCUGAGUAAAGAACAAAUCAUUCAGAGCAGCUAGAAGGCAGGUAUAGGGCCUGCUUGAUGAAAGUGUGAGGAAGGCAGGAAUGAGAGAAGGAGACACGAGCCUGCAUUUAGAUUUGAGGGCUCUCCAAGUGGAGUGCAAAUAGCAUGGCCUCUCCACCCAGGUGCGCAUCACGUGUGAAGCCAACUGCUUCAGGGUGGAUGUGAAUGGUGGGCACCUGUGUGAGUACUACCACCGCCAGAACAACUUGUCCUCCAUCAACAAGGUGGAAGUGGUGGGCGACAUCAAGGAGAUUCAGAUUCAGAUGCAGGAGGGAUCCCUGGCCUGGGCUCUAGGGCUGGGGCACAUUGCUGUCUGGAUCUGCUCAUCACCUCCACCUUCCCCGUCCCUGCCCCAGCCCCAGCCCUUCCCAGCCUGCAGAGGGUCUCUUUUCUGGGGAGACCACGCCCUUGUCUGGCCUUGAUG
ensembl:lncRNA